rnacentral:rRNA from 1 species
UACGAAGGGGGCUAGCGUUGUUCGGAAUUACUGGGCGUAAAGCGCACGUAGGCGGAUCAGCAAGUUAGGGGUGAAAUCCCGGGGCUCAACCCCGGAACUGCCUUUAAAACUGUUGGUCUCGAGUCCGGAAGAGGUGAGUGGAAUUCCGAGUGUAGAGGUGAAAUUCGUAGAUAUUCGGAGGAACACCAGUGGCGAAGGCGGCUCACUGGCUCGAUACUGACGCUGAGGUGCGAAAGCGUGGGGAGCAAACAGG